GCCCAGACUCCUACGGGAGGCAGCAGUGGGGAAUAUUGCACAAUGGGGGAAACCCUGAUGCAGCGACGCCGCGUGAGCGAUGAAGUAUUUCGGUAUGUAAAGCUCUAUCAGCAGGGAAGAAGAUGACGGUACCUGACUAAGAAGCCCCGGCUAACUACGUGCCAGCAGCCGCGGUAAUACGUAGGGGGCAAGCGUUAUCCGGAUUUACUGGGUGUAAAGGGAGCGUAGACGGCGAUGCAAGCCAGAUGUGAAAGCCCGGGGCUCAACCCCGGGACUGCAUUUGGAACUGUGUGGCUGGAGUGUCGGAGAGGCAGGCGGAAUUCCUAGUGUAGCGGUGAAAUGCGUAGAUAUUAGGAGGAACACCAGUGGCGAAGGCGGCCUGCUGGACGAUGACUGACGUUGAGGCUCGAAAGCGUGGGGAGCAAACAGGAUUAGAUACCCGUGUA
rnacentral:rRNA from 1 species